rnacentral:rRNA from 1 species
GACGAACGCUGGCGGCGUGCUUAACACAUGCAAGUCGAACGGAAAGGCCCCCUUGUGGGGUACUCGAGUGGCGAACGGGUGAGUAACACGUGAGUAACCUACCCUUGACUUUGGGAUAACUUCAGGAAACUGGGGCUAAUACCGGAUAGGAGCUCCUGCUGCAUGGUGGGGGUUGGAAAGUUUCGGCGGCUGGGGAUGGACUCGCGGCUUAUCAGCUUGUUGGUGGGGUAGUGGCUCACCAAGGCUUUGACGGGUAGCCGGCCUGAGAGGGUGACCGGCCACAUGGGGACUGAGAUACGGCCCAGACUCCUACGGGAGGCAGCAGUGGGGAAUAUUGCACAAUGGGCGGAAGCCUGAUGCAGCAACGCCGCGUGCGGGAUGACGGCCUUCGGGUUGUAAACCGCUUUCGCCUGUGACGAAGCGUGAGUGACGGUAAUGGGUAAAGAAGCACCGGCUAACUACGUG